rnacentral:lncRNA from 1 species
GCUCGUUCUCAGAUAUUUGAGUAGAGGCUCAAUCCAGUAGGACUCUUCAUCAAUUUGUUAAAUAACGAGAGGCUCCUCGAGGCUUGAGAUUUUUAGUACCUCGAAGUAAGUUCCCUCCUCUCAGUCGAUGGGUAGUAAAACCGCCAACUUUGAUAGCACAUCUGCCUUGGCGUUGUCCACUCUGAAAACCUGUUGAAUAUCAAAGCUCC